AGUAUUGGAAAAUAAAUUUGUAUUUUCGAAUGAGGUGAUUUUGGAACAAAGAAUUCCCGUGCGUUUUCGCACAACUAUUCAUCUAAAAGACGACAUGGAAAUUCGGCUUGUUGCUAUGAAUACGUCGGAUACGUUUCUAUAUAAAAAACCCCCGAGAUACAUCGAUAGUGAUCCAUUGUCCUUUUUAUUUUAUCAAACUAUGUUAUUUUGUGCUAUGUAUUGAUUGCUACAAAGUAAAUAUUUCGCAAUCGCGUAUAGGCAUACUAUGUAUGUCCAUAUAAGGAACGAAAUAUGACACGUGCCGGCGCCUGCAUGCAAAUUUUUUGAGCGCGUCGUUUGAAAACUCUUUUGAAUCGUAUAUUCAUCGAGAUGUUUAUGCUGCUGUGUUAAAGACGUUUUGAGCGUAUUUACUCAACUAUUUUGGUACUUCUAAAUAUCCUUAACAACAACGGGCGCCCAUAAGGAAAUUUCAAAGCAAUUGGUUGUAGUAUUAUCUCAGAAAUAUCUUGAGAAGUUAAAUGACGUAUUCUACUUUACUGCGAUCUCUUCAGCAAGCUGUGGUCAAAGAAAAUAUCAUUGCGAUAAUAGGUAAAGGCAGAAUUUGGAAGUGAAAUGUGCAAGAACGA